UUCAUGACAACAGAACCCACAACAACCAUGACUUGUAUCACCAUCUUCAUCUGGAUUGUUGCCCUCUGUCUCCAAGAGUCCAGAGGCCAGGUCACUGUGACUCAGACCCCUGCAGGGAAAGCUGUUUCAGUCGGUCACUCAGUCAGUCUCAGCUGUAAGACCAGCAGUGCUGUAUACAGUGACAGCAAUGGACACUAUCUGCACUGGUAUCAACAGAAACCUGGAGGAGCUCCUAAACUCCUAAUAUACURGUCUAAAACCCUUCAGUCUGGGACGCCAUCUAGAUUCAGUGGUAGUGGAUCUGGGAGUGACUUCACUCUGACCAUCAGUGGAGUCCAGGCUGAAGAUGCAGGAGAUUACUACUGUCAGAGUAGGCACUACCCCAACAGUGUCUUGGUGUUCACACAGUGAUACAGAGCUGUACAAAAACCUCCCUCAGUCAGACUGCACAGUGACUGUACUGCUACAGCUGGGACCUAAUGCAGGUGCUGAGGGGGAAGAGACAGUGACAUGAAACACUGAUCAGUAGAGGAGGUCAACUUUGAAAAUGGUUAGAAAGUAUCA